rnacentral:lncRNA from 1 species
AAAUGGGCUGCAGCACGUUUGAGAAAUGACUCCACCACAAGGACCUUCAUACAGCGCUCAGCCGUUUCCUAUGUCUUUCGUCAUAGGUGUUUAUUCAGCUUCCUCUUUUUAUCUGCUUUCUUACUCUCGAUGAGAGGAUAUGCACCAGCACUGGGAUCGCACAGUUACCAUGACAAGACAAGCGGUGAGGGAUUAUGUCAAUGAAGGACACAGGGAUAAAUAUCAAACAGACAGAGUUCGGCAGCUGAUUUUCAUCAGCUUUGCUGUGCUGUGUGUUGUACAAGCCACUCUCAAUAUUACUUUACGCCUUACAUUGCAUGCCAGCAAGGAAUCAAACCACUUGGACCAUAAUGGUGUAAAUCACAGAGAUGAGCUACCUGAUCAUUGCCAAGACAGGCUCAAAGCCGCCUCCAGAGAAAUAUCCCUGUUUGAGAAACGUAACACUGAGCUCAACAACAAGAUAGAGAUGCUGGAGGAAAAGAUCAGCAGGCUGGAAAAGAAUAAAUAGCGCCCUAUGCAAUCUGGAUGAGGAUAAAUAUCUUUAUCUGGACUGGUCUCCAUGGAACAGAUGUACUAAUCCAACCCAGUGUUCAACAGCUGCCAUGGCGCCCCCUGUGGGAAUUUCUGCUGCUACUCUAUGGCUUCAGCUAAAAAAAAACUUGCUUUUUGUGUAUGUAAAACAUUCACUUUGCUUUUUUUUAAUCAUAAGCUGAGCAAAGAAAACAAUCUGGAUAAAGCUCAUUCUUGACACACACCUAUGAAAAGGGCAACAUGCGCCAACAUUUAUCUUCUGCUUUUAGAUAAUACACAGUUUGACAACCAUAAGUAACAAAGAACAGAAGAGAAAAUUUCAUGGGGGAAAAAGAAGAAAAAAUGGAAAUAAAACCGAAUUAAGAUAAGAUAAUAUUUUAUUG